CUGAGGCUUGGGUGGCUCUUACUCCCGGGCCACAGCGGCUCCCCAGAAACCCCUGCCAAGCGACUGUUCCCGGGUAGCCCAGACGCUUUUCCCACGCUGGUGGUGCACACGGCCACCCCCAAUCAGAGCAGCGCGGUGACCUUCCCCAGGAACCUGCUGGCCCCCGGGGAGUUAGAGUUUCAGCGCCCAACAGGUCACUUUCCGCCCCACAAGCCAGAGAGACCUUGGCCCCAUGUGUUAAAGCAAAGUUGCUGAGGUCUCCGCUUUAGAAAACCUCAGAGAGCACGCAUUGCUACCGCCUUUAAAACAGAAACAAACAAACAACAACAAAAAAAAGGGUCAAACUAUUUCUUUUGCAUUUGUUUGGUUUUGUGCAUUUGGAUAGUUUUUAAGUCUCUUAUUUCAGACUUUCCGUCUUCGCUCUGAAGGAUCUGUGUGUAAAAAUGGCCUGUUCACACGACUGCGGAGACUGUGGGGUUUGAUGCCCUGACCCGGGGCACUUGCUGGUCACUUACCGCACCUGCAGUAAGCCUCGUCCGUGACUUUCCAUUACUUCCUGCAGCGACAGGAGAUGCAUCCCGGGUCAUCAGGCAUCUUUAGCAGCUGAGCCAUCCCACCAGCCCAGCCAUUCUUUCAUCAGUUGAAGUCCUUGUCUACUGAGUGUCAAGAGGCAAUUCCAGUCUCUCCCGGAUUGCUGCUUUCCUCACAGCCAAACUACUUGUAGAAUAACCAAACCUGCUAUCAAGCUACCGGGCAGUCAGCGUUUCUUCAUCUGUGUCUCAGAAAAGCGUGGUUCACAUGCCAGCCCUCGCCGCCCCCCCCCCAUGAUGGUGGCACCAUUUCAGAAGGUUUUCCAGACUUCUGCUCACCCUUGGCUUUCUGAUUGCAGACGCGAUGUGCCCAGCACCUCCCACACCUGCCAGCCGCCAUGCUUUCCCUGCUGUGAUGGACUGUGUCUCCUAGAACAGUAAGACAAAAUCAACUCUGUGUUAAGUUGCUUCUGGUCAAAUACUUCGUGACAGCAGGGAGAAAACUAAUAUAGAGAGACAUAACCACCAACUCUACAAAAAUACAAAGGAUUCUAAGAGUGAACAGUUAUAAACUAAUUUGAUAACCUACGUGAAAUGGACAAAUUCCAAAAAUCACAACACUUACCAAGACUAAAUUAUGAGAGCAUAGAUCAUCUAAAUAGACUUUAUAACAAUUAAGCAGGUUGAAUCAGUAAUUUAAAAAAAAAAUCUCUCAGCAAAGAACUCCAAAUUUUCACAAGCUUUUCCCAAAAACUAAAUAGGAAGGACUACUUCUUAAUUCAUCCUAAAGACACAAGAAAAACAUUACACUGUUCAUGAUAAUUAACCCAAAAAUCCUCAACAAAAUACUAGCAAAGUAAACUCAGCAGCAAGUUAAGUAGGAUUAUACACCAUGACUGGUGAGUAAGGUUCAUUCCUGGAAUGCAAAGAGGAGUUCACUUACAAAAACCGAUCAAUGUAACACACACUAUUAACAAAAUAAAGGGGGUGGAAUACAUAUCACCCCAGCUAAUGCAGAAAAGCUGAAGUUAGAUGCUUAUUUGGUGAAACCAGAUUAAUGAGAACAUAACCUGUCAAGUCACAUGGGGCCUCCGCUUGACUAGUACAUUGGAGCUGCCAUCUUGAAAGCCAGAAGUCUUUGCUUCUGGUUCUACCUCAUCUUCUACCAAUACUGUAGCUAACAUGGCUCUCAGGGAUGAACCUGCCUCAGCAUCCCUACUGAGCUCAGGUAUCAGGAGCCAUGCCUCCACACAAAUGCAGUUAAGAGUCUUAGAGCAAAAAUACUGGGCCACAUGGUCAGUUAGGCACUCUGUAAUGUAAUAUACAAUAUUAACAAAAUUAAGAGGGCAAAUAAUAGUGUUGUUAUGCAUAUUGAAGUUGAUGCUUCUGUUGUUAGGUCUAUGAGGUGUAUUCUUGUGACCACUAUGUUAUACCUUUGGGGCCAAAAAAAAAAAUCUACUUCACACAGCCCCAGGGAAUAGCACCUCCAUAGUCCUUGUAGCCUCCCUUUCCUGGGAUGCUUAUCUGCUGAAAAGCAAUCCCUUGUGAUCACAUUUGAUCCAAGGGCCAUAAUCAACACUCACCUCCUCAUCUUGGCCCUCAGAAUACAACCAUGGAAAGUGCUGGUGACCUACCUAGUGUCAUGACCCAAACCUUCACUCUGGGUGGGUCACCACCACCUGCCAUGAGUCCUUUAGAAUGAAAGCAAGAGGUCAUUGGGGAGGGGGAGGGCUAAGGCCAAUCCACAUCAUGACAUCCGGUUUCCAGACCUUUGUAUCCUUCCGUCUGGAGACCCAUCACCAACGUAAUGAAUUCAAUGUGUCCUGAAAAAUGGUACUCUAGGUUCACAUCGCCUCAGAGCUAGUGCUUCGCUGUCAUUGUGCACCUUGGCUCCAACAGCCUACACGUCCAGUUGCCUCUGGUGGGCGCUGCAAUUUAAGAUAACUAGGAGUUCCCACGGUCGUGAUCCACACCUCCUUUGCUUGAACUUGCUGCCCUGAUCGGCUACAUGGAGUUCUGCACCACUCCCUAAGCUACUGGAUAAAGGUGCUACCUGAAUCUUUCUGGGAAGGAAGAAUGGGAUAUCUAUCGGCCAUCUCUCUUGCAGUUACGUUAACUCUUCCGCCUUCUAUCAUGUUAGAGAACCAGGAUCUCUUGGAAAUCCAAAAGAUGCCAAUCCUUUCCAGAAAGACAACGCAAAGUUGACAGAGCAGGCCAGGCUAGAGGAUGCUUUCGCUGGAGGCCCUGAGAACGUGGGGAAUAACCCCUGUGGAGAGGCUAGAAGAGAGAGUCUCUGUGUCUCUGUGUCAUUUAUGGGAUGUUACAAUGACAAGGGUGGGCUCUCCUCCUCCCCAAACUUGAUGUAUCCUCUAAUAUUGUCACAAAGAAGGAAGUCUGUUCCUGUAGACUGACCUGCAUUCUGGAGCCCAUUCUGGAUCCACCUCUGUGAUCUUUUCCUGCCCUUAAUUCUGAGAAAAACAGAAAGCUUUGGGUGGUAUUGGAACAGAACAGGAUUGCGGCAGGUCUGAGCCACAGUGGAGAUGGCCCUCCCAACAGACACCCAUGGUGAUGAAAGGACCAAUAAUGGCCAAAGAUGAAAUAUGACCAGCAGACAGAUCUGUAAGCCACAUGACCCAUUGUAAACCGGACUGUAUCCAAGACUCCCCCCCCCCCCCGCCUUUUUUUUUUUUUUUUUUUUUGGUUUGGUUUUCAUGUACCCAAUUCAGAUAGGAGGUCAAAAAUAUCUUUAGAACUCUCAGUAUCAAUACCAGCUCAGAUACUUUGUCCAAUAGUCCUGAAAAUGCCUAAUUGUCUCUAUUUCCCAGUACACUGUUAUCAAAGCAAAUGGCACAGGUCCCUUUGAUGGAGCCUGGGAAAUCAUCAUGCUGUCUGCUUGUCAUCUUGAAGCCAUCUCUUCAGUCAUUGGGUUCCACAUCUGAAAACUGAGUCGUCUGAGACCUGAACAAAGGAUCGUGACUUCUGACUGAUGUUCAAAAUAGACACCUUACUUCACUGACCAUCUUCCUAGCUAAUGAAUCGCAUUGACUGCCCAUCUCCCAGCUUCUGUCAUGCCCAGGGAUGUCCACAAACUCCAGCUCUGCAAUCAACCAUGCUCAACAGCCCUCCUUGGUGCUGUGAGGACCCUCCUUAUCAGCUCAUUUUAGUGGCUUAGUGAGGGGUAGCCUGUAUGUCAAUGAUACGCCUUCUGUCAAAUCUUUUGGACACAGAAGAUAAAUCCUUCGGGGGGGAACCAUUUAGAUUUAACCCCCAACCCCUCCUCUUAACUACCCCUUAGGACAGGGAAAGAAAUACCCCCAAAUCCUCCCUCGGGGAAGUGGAUUUGAGACUUGCUCUCUCGGCUCCACGUGUGGCCAUCUGAAAUUGUUUCUCUUUUAUAGAACUGGUUACUUCAGAUGGCACGCAUACCACACAGUGGGCAAAAUGUGCCAGGCUGAGUCACAGUAGGAUCGAUCAGGAACUCCCCAGCCAACCUCACUGGGUGCAGGCCUGGUUCUCGCAUUUCUACAGGGAGAGUCCAGGGUUAAAGCGUCUUGCUGCUGAGCUCUCUGCAGAGGAAACUCUCACCUUCUCCGCUCUUAUUCUUCCUUGUUAUGAGGCUGAAUCGGCAAAAUCAGCUGGUGGAAUUCAUAGCCAUAUAAUUCCUCACCUUGUGCAUAGUUCAAGUAAAUCGAAGUAAAACCUGAGACUGAUUUUCAUCCCUGCUCCCAUUAAGAAAAUCCUGCUCUGGCGUGGUAGUUUCAGGUCUUUCCAAGAAUCAGGCCUUGGUCCCACCACCACGUGUGGAAACUUUGUUGUCCUGCUUCCAUUUCUUCACCUCCAUGUUGCUGUUGGAAGGUAACACGUGCCUAGUCCCUAGCAUGGGGCAGAUCUUCAGAAUGGCUGGGAGUAGAUCCACGACUCUAGAUGUGGCCAGAGAUGGGGAUAAGAAAUUAGAUCUUUAUUUAUUCUUUAAAAAUAUUUUGUUGCUACUUCUUGACUGUAAUUUUGCCACUGUUAAUUGAUUGUAAUGCGAAUAUCUGUGUUUCCUGAUGGUGUUAGGUGACCCCUGUGAGAAAGCGUCCUUUGAUUACAGAGGGGUUGCGACCCAUAAGUUGAGAAACUUGGUUUAAGUAUUCUGGGACAGCGAGAACCACUCUGCACCCCAUGUAGGCAGAACUUCUUCGGCCAUGCCAGUGUUUCACUAACUUGCCCAUGAGUUGUUUGCCCCUAGGCCAAGCACCUACCCCAGACCCAAUCAGGCAAGGCAGGUGAAAAGAUGGGGACUUUCAGGAUCUUUUCCUACAGUGGCCAUCCAGUGCUUUUCCUAGGGGGGGAAAAAUUCUAAGCAUAAGCUAUGGUAAGUUGUGAUGAGAUCGGUAGGUGGUAGAUAAUCGAAUGGACGAUUCAAAGAUGGAAGGAUAGAAAGAUUUUUUUUUAAGCCCUCAACUCCAAUAUGGAACUAGAACAGUCAAAAAAAAAUUAGAAAAAAAAAAUUUAGAAAAGUGCAGCUUCCAAUCGUGACACAGACGCCUUUGUAAUAUCUUGACCCUUAAGCAAACGCUCAUGUUAAGAAGCUGUAGCUGAAGGACGGCAAGGCGGCUCCGUAUGUAAUGUCAUUUGCUAUGAAAGCUUAGUGAGCUCACUUCAAUACCCAGGUCCCACAGACAGGUGGGGGAGAGAGAUAAGUGCAUAAAGCUUUGGAGCUCUGACCUCCACAAGUGCUCCGUGACACACACACAUCAUCUCAUCAUCAUCAUCAUCAUCAUCAUCAUCAUCAUCAUCAUCAUCAUCAUGUUCGAAGCUGACAUGGAUUACAUAAGAGUCUGUCUCAAAAGCAAACAGACAGACAAACCAAAACACAUUUUUAAACGGCUCUGACGAACGUCCUCCAAGCAAGUGAAACAAUAUUGAAAGAAUCUGUUCUAGGGAUGCAGAGUACUGUAAAGUACCACAAGAUGGCAGCAUUGCUCCAUGUGUGGUCUAUAUCCGGCUGCAAAGGCUGUUCCGUGCUUAGGAUCCGAUUGCCCACUUCGUCCUGAAGCUAAUUCUUGAGAGAUCUGAGAAGCCUCCAGUUGGUGAAAAGAUAGACAUCUCAACAGUACACACGACAUCUAUUUUUCUACCUUCUGAUCCAUUUGUCUUUGAGUUGAUUUGAUUCCCAAGAUCUUGGGACCUGGUAUUAUAGUUAGUUUAAUUAUAUAUGUACUUAUGCAUGUAAACAGUAGCUUAAGUUAUCCAAGGAUUAGAAGCCUCCUAGCAAAGUCCUGAUUUGAAGAAUUAUAUUGUAAGAAUGUUUACUUUGUAUUUAUUUAAUCCAAUUUUUAUUAUACAGACAGACAGGUAGUAGAUAGAGAGACAGACAAACAGAUAGAGAUAGGUCAUAAAAGUUAGAUUCAAUUAUAUAUACUCAAAUAUACACCAAAAGCCAACUGUGAUGGUGAGUUUUAUUUGGCAGCCUGGAUCCACCAUGGUACCUAGAUAUUUGGUCAAAUAUUAGUCUAGAUGGCGCUAUGAAUAUUUUUUUUUUCAAGACAAGGUUUCUCUGUAUAGCCUUGACUUUCCUGGAACUCGCUCUGUAGAGCAGGCUGGCCUCAAACUCAGAGAUAUCUGCCUGCCUUUUCCUCCCAAGUAUUUGGAUCAAAGGCGUGUGCUACCACCACCUAGCAUGAAGAUUAUUUAAAUGAGAUUGCAAUGCCCAAGUAUACUUUUAAAGAAUAUCAACUGCUGGCCGUGGUGGCACAUGCCUUUAAUUCCAGAAUGUGGGAGGCAGAGGCAGGUUGAUCUCUGUGAGUUUGAGGCCAGCUUGGUCUACAGAGUGAGUUCCAGGACAGCCAAGGCUGCAAAGAAAAAACCUGUCUGGAAAAACCAAGUCAAAAAAA